AGCGAACGCUGGCGGCAGGCCUAACACAUGCAAGUCGAGCGCCCCGCAAGGGGAGCGGCAGACGGGAGAGUAACACGUGGGAACGUACCCUUCGGUUCGGAACAACCCAGGGAAACUUGGGCUAAUACCGGAUACGUCCGAAAGGAGAAAGAUUCAUCGCCGAGGGAUCGGCCCGCGUCUGAUUAGCUAGUUGGUGGGGUAACGGCCCACCAAGGCGACGAUCAGUAGCUGGUCUGAGAGGAUGAUCAGCCUCACUGGGACUGAGACAUGGCCCAGACUCCUACGGGAGGCAGCAGUGGGGAAUAUUGGACAAUGGGCGCAAGCCUGAUCCAGCCAUGCCGCGUGGGUGAUGAAGGCCCUAGGGUUGUAAAGCCCUUUCGGCGGGGGAGAUAAUGACGGUACCCGCAGAAGAAGCCCCGGCUAACUUCGUGCCAGCAGCCGCCGUAAAAC
rnacentral:rRNA from 1 species